rnacentral:rRNA from 1 species
AUGCUGACGAGCGGCGGACGGGUGAGUAAUGCAUAGGAAUCUGCCCGAUAGUGGGGGAUAACCUGGGGAAACCCAGGCUAAUACCGCAUACGUCCUACGGGAGAAAGGGGGCUCCGGCUCCCGCUAUGGGAUGAGCCUAUGUCGGAUUAGCUAGUUGGUGAGGUAACGGCUCACCAAGGCCACGAUCCGUAGCUGGUCUGAGAGGAUGAUCAGCCACAUCGGGACUGAGACACGGCCCGAACUCCUACGGGAGGCAGCAGUGGGGAAUAUUGGACAAUGGGGGCAACCCUGAUCCAGCCAUGCCGCGUGUGUGAAGAAGGCCCUCGGGUUGUAAAGCACUUUCAGCGAGGAAGAACGCCUAGCGGUUAAUACCCGCUAGGAAAGACAUCACUCGCAGAAGAAGCACCGGCUAACUCCGUGCCAGCAGCCGCGGUAAUACGGAGGGUGCAAGCGUUAAUCGGAAUUACUGGGCGUAAAGCGCGCGUAGGUGGCUUGAUAAGCCGGUUGUGAAAGCCCCGGGCUCAACCUGGGAACGGCAUCCGGAACUGUCAAGCUAGAGUGCAGGAGAGGAAGGUAGAAUUCCCGGUGUAGCGGUGAAAUGCGUA